GGCUAUGGAAUAAAUGCAGUAAAAAAAAAAAGUAAGUCUAUGGCCCGAUCCCAUCUGAUCUCAGAAACUAAGCAGGGUCGGGCCUGGUUAGUACUUGGAUGGGAGAUCACCUAGGAAGACUAGGUGCUGUAGGCA
rnacentral:rRNA from 1 species